GACGAACGCUGGCGGCGUGCUUAACACAUGCAAGUCGAGCGGUAAGGCCCUUUCGGGGGUACGACGAGCGGCGAACGGGUGAGUAACACGUGGGUGACCUGCCCUUAGCUCUGGGAGUAAGCCUGGGAAACGUGGGUCUAAUACCGGAUAUGACUCCAUAACGCAUGUUGUGGGGUGGAAAGCCUUGUGCGGCUAGGGAUGGGCCCGCGGCCUAUCAGCUUGUUGGGUGGGGUGAUGGCCACCAAGGCGACGACGGGUAGCCGGCCUGAGAGGG
rnacentral:rRNA from 1 species